rnacentral:lncRNA from 1 species
GGCCAGUGGCAGAGGCGAUAUUUUCUGCUGGUCAAUGCUGUUAGUGCUACUGUUUGGCCACUGCUGUGAAGAACCUAUCGAGGCAUUUUCUGAUCCAGAACUCUCUUCGAUUUCUUAAGGUCUCUGAAACGGGUCACAUGCAGUGCAGUGGACUGCCAGCUCAGCCACCUUGACUAUGCUUUCAAGAGUUACUUCAUCAUCAAUAUUAAGAACUUGGUCUAUACAAUUUACCAUAUUUUCCUUGGAGAUGAGAGGGACCCUUCUAAACCAUGUAGCCAAAUGACAACUCUCAUUUGACAUAGUUUCAUCUACUGCUUUUCUUUUGAUAGAA